ACAUUGUUUCCAGUGAGGGUGCCAAAUAAUCAAAUGGACAAAUGAACUGUUACAAGAGAAUUCUGUUCCAUAUUGAUACUCAAAGCAUCUGUUAAUGUGUCGUGAUUUCCUACAUUAAUAGACACAAAUCAAAUUGUGCCAUGGAAAUGGACAAAUUCAAUGAGCUAGGAUGAGAGUGAAUGGUUUCUAGUGGUGCUAAUGUGAGAUUGCUUGUGAGUGAAGUGAGGUUUUAUGUGCACAAGUGAUGUCACAGAAUAUUUAUUUAUUAUCCAAUCAAAAACAAUGGAUACAGUGAUUAUUAUGUUUCCAAAUACAUGUAUAUUGCUGUGUUGUGAAAUGUUUACAUUAUCCAAGGAAGUGAUGUACCAAAACUUCCCUGUGUUGCCAUGGAGACUGUUUCCAUGCAUAUUGACACUGUAGUGCUAUAUGUGUAUCAGUAUUGCAGAAGUAUUGAUACUAAUGUUAUAACUAUUGAUACUGGUAAUGUUAUAACUAUUCAUAUCAAAACUGCUGACAUUGUCAUACUAGUCACCAUCAGCUCUCAUUCGUACUAUUAAAAGACAAGUCAGUCAACUGAUGGUCAUGUGACAUCAAACUAUGUGCUUUCUCAUUCAAUUUUGCAUGCAUUUUCCCUGAACUUUUAAAGUCUGAGUUUUUGGAAAAAAUUUUACUUGAACGUUUUAAGAUAUAUUAAUGUGACACAUUUUAAGGCUUACAAUUAUGUUAAAUGUAAGUAACUUCACUGAACAUGGUUCCAAGAGGCCUUUCUUAUAAAAGGUGUGCAAUAUAUUUUACAAAAGAAACAUGUAUGGUGAUUUUUUUCUCACUCUUCCAUUUAUGAUGUAUGUUUUUUAACAUGUUAUACACCUGUACUCAAUCAGACUUUUUUAAGUUGAUAAUAUGUUCACUUGUCUAGGUAGACCUAUAAUCAACUUGAGUUAUUCCUUUAAUAUAAUGAAAUCAUGCACAUCAGGGUCUACCGUAUAUGUUUUCUCUGAUCAAAGAAGGUCAGACAUAUUUCCUUGAUAAAUUUUUUUCUGUUUUUGUUUAACUGUGAUAUGAUUCUAUUGCAGCAGAAUAAAUAAAGGAAUCCAAUCAUCGUGUAGACAAUGUAAUGAAACCAAGCUCUUGUUCUGACUAUGCAGGGGAGAACCUAACAGUGUGCUGAUCAUGUGUCUUCAGUUCUGUGUCAUUUUGUGCCAAACUCUUUGUUUCUAGCGCCAUCAACUACUCUCUAACUAGUCCCUAUUUAAACUGGUUAUUGGCCUUGAACCAAUUACAGAACACACAGCGUUGUCUUGGUUGUGUGGUAUAUAUGUCACAAAUACUAUGGAAGCAAUCACAAGAUGUCAUAUAAAGCAGUUCCACCAUUUUCUUUUCAUUGUGUACAGUUUCAUGUCCAUGGUAUAUCUUAUACAGUUAUGAUACUUUGUAUAUUGCUGUCUGUAGGCUAAAAGGUUUACAAAAUAAAUUAACAUAUU
rnacentral:misc_RNA from 1 species